rnacentral:rRNA from 1 species
CUACGGGUCGCACCAGUGGGGAAUCUUAGACAAUGGGCGCAAGCCUGAUCUAGCCAUGCCGCGUGAGUGAUGAAGGCCUUAGGGUCGUAAAGCUCUUUCGCCAGAGAUGAUAAUGACAGUAUCUGGUAAAGAAACCCCGGCUAACUCCGUGCCAGCAGCCGCGGUAAUACGGAGGGGGUUAGCGUUGUUCGGAAUUACUGGGCGUAAAGCGCACGUAGGCGGAUUAGAAAGUUGGGGGUGAAAUCCCGGGGCUCAACCUCGGAACGGCCUCCAAAACUCCUAGUCUAGAGUUCGAGAGAGGUGAGUGGAAUUCCAAGUGUAGAGGUGAAAUUCGUAGAUAUUUGGAGGAACACCAGUGGCGAAGGCGGCUCACUGGCUCGAUACUGACGCUGAGGUGCGAAAGUGUGGGGAGCAAACAGGAUUAGAUACCCCCGUAGUC